GAUGAACGCUGGCGGCGUGCCUAAUACAUGCAAGUCGAGCGAAUGGAUUAAGAGCUUGCUCUUAUGAAGUUAGCGGCGGACGGGUGAGUAACACGUGGGUAACCUGCCCACAAGACUGGGAUAACUCCGGGAAACCGGGGCUAAUACCGGAUAACAUUUUGAACCGCAUGGUUCGAAAUUGAAAGGCGGCUUCGGCUGUCACUUAUGGACGGACCCGCGUCGCAUUAGCUAGUUGGUGAGGUAACGGCUCACCAAGGCAACGAUGCGUAGCCGACCUGAGAGGGUGAUCGGCCACACUGGGACUGAGACACGGCCCAGACUCCUACGGGAGGCAGCAGUAGGGAAUCUUCCGCAAUGGACGAAAGUCUGACGGAGCAACGCCGCGUGAGUGAUGAAGGCUUUCGGGUCGUAAAACUCUGUUGUUAGGGAAGAACAAGUGCUAGUUGAAUAAGCUGGCACCUUGACGGUACCUAUCCAGAAAGCCACGGCUAACUACGUGCCAGCAGCCGCAGUAA
rnacentral:rRNA from 1 species